rnacentral:lncRNA from 1 species
CUAACUCACAGGUUUGACACAAGGAAGAUUCUGGGAAGUUGGAGAAGAACAGAACCUGGGAUUGGCAGCGGCCAGGGCUGUUUGUCCUGCCCUUGUCUCCUCUGUCCCCCUUCACCCACUGGCCUCACUCUCUCUUUCUGUAGACAGCCCUCCUCCAGUGGUGGGGAUACAGCCCCUGGCAGCCCAGGCUCAGCCACCCCAACAUCAAGGGAGAAAUUUUUUCAACAGGAAUCUUUCUAAUAGGGAAGGGCUCAGAUGGGCUUGCUCAAGUUAGGUGUCUGCCCCCCGAGGCAAUCCCCAGUGGCAAGGAGAUGACACACUGAGAUAGGCCAGUCCUGGUCACACCCUCUCUCCUAGGGCUGCUGGACAGGAGUUGUCAACAGAGAAGAGUGACAGGAACACUUACUUGGCAGGCACAAAUCACAGGUUGCUGUGCUCCACUAUGCAGAUGAUGACACCCUCAGAUUUUUUCUCUUUAGUAAACUCUUAAAACUAGACAUAUACACAGAAAACUGCAUGAAUUAUGAGUGUGCAGUGUUUAUUCACAAGAGCAAGGACAUAGAAUCAACCCAGGCACCCAUCAAAAGUAGAUUAAAGAAAAUGUGGUGCAUAUACACCAUGGAAUACUACACAGCCAUAAAAAAGAACAAAAUCGUGUCCUUUGCAGUACCAUGGAUAAGGCUGGAGGCUGUUACCUUAAUUGAAUUAACACAGAAACAGAAAACUAAAUACUACGUGUUCUUACUUCAUCCUGAUGGAGAAACAGAACGUCACCAGCAUCCUAGAAACCUUCCUUGGCUUCCUUCCAAUCAUGGCACACCUGUCUUCCAAAGGAUAUAUAUGUGAAAAUAUUGUGAACUGGAAAACCUAGAAGAAACAGAUAAAUUCCUGGACACAUUCAACCUACCAAGAUUGAACCAUGAAGAAACAGAAAAGCUGAACAGAACAAUAACAAGCAAUGAGAUUGAAGCAGUAAUAAAAUAUCACCCAUCAAAGAAAAGUCAAGGACCUGAUGGCUUCACUGCUGAAUUCCACCAAACAUUUAAAGAACUAAUACCAAUUCUACUCAAACUAUUCCAAAAAAUUGAAGAGGAGGGAAUACUUCCAAAGUCAUUAUCCAAGGCCAGAACUACAUUGAUACAAAAGCCAGAUAAGGACACAAACAAAAAAAGAAAGCUACAGGCCAAGAUCCCUGAUGAACAUAAAUGCAAAAGUUCUCGACAAAAUACUAUCAUACGAAAUUCAGCAACACAUCAAAAAGAUUAUUCACCAUUGAUCAAGUGGAAUUCAUCCCAGGAACGCAAGGAUGGUUCAACAUACACAAAUCAAUAAAUGUGAUACAUCACAUCAACAGAUAUAGUUGGGAUCAGUGCCCUGGUUACAUAAUCAAAAAUGCCUUCCCAAGUCUCACCUCAUUCUUACCUCUCCUAGGACCUUUGUUAGCUAUUUUGUUAUUACUAAUCUUUGGCCCUUGUUUGAUUAACCUCUUAGUAAAGUUUGUGUCUUUUAGAUUACAAUAGUUCCAGGUAAAGACAAUGCUGGCACAAGGCUUCCAAUCCAUCCUGCCUACUGACCAGGAGAAUUAAAAUGUUCUGCCUAUGGGCCCCUUAGAUCAGGUAUCCAGAGAUUUUUACUCCUCUGUUGCUUGGCCAGGGCCUACGCCCAUAACAUAAGCAGGAAGCAGUUACAGAAGACAGAUUUCUACCCUUCUGCAGCCCUGUUAAGAUUAAGGAGGAGUGUCUAAUCUCUGAGACAGGAAUGAGGUAGGAGGCAGGGCUUGACUCGAACUAGAUUGGAGACUGGCUGAAACAGGGAAGGGCUGAAAGCACCUCUCUGUAAGGCAUGCUCACCAGUAUCAUGACAGUUUACUCAUUCCCUGGCAACAACCUGGAAGUUACGACCUUUUUCUAGAAAUUUCUGAAUAAUCUACUCCUUAAUUUGCAUGUAAUUAAAAAUGGGUAUAAAUGUGACUGUGGAACUGUCCCUGAGCUGCUGCUCUGGACACACUGCUGAUGGGUGGCCCUGCUCUGCAGGAGCAGUCACAGAGCUGUAACACUGUGCCCUUGAUAAAGCUAUUUUUUCUACCACCAGCUAACACUUGAAUUUCUUCCUGGGGGACACCAA